GAUGAACGCUAGCGACAGGCCUAACACAUGCAAGUCGAGGGGCAGCACGAAGUAAGCUUGCUUACUUUGGUGGCGACCGGCGCACGGGUGCGUAACAGGUGUGCAAUCUGUCCAUAAUCGGGGAAUAGCCCAGCGAAAGUUGGAUUAAUGCUCCAUGUGAGCAGGGGAGGCAUCUCCUUUGUUUGAAACGUAAGGAUUAUGGGUGAGCACGCUUCUGAUUAGGUAGUUGGUGAGGUAACGGCUCACCAAGCCGACGAUCAGUAGGGGUUCUGGGAGGAAGGUCCCCCACAUUGGAACUGAGACACGGUCCAAACUCCUACGGGAGGCAGCAGUGAGGAAUAUUGGUCAAUGGACGAAAGUCUGAACCAGCCAAGUCGCGUGAAGGAUGAAGGUUCUAUGGAUUGUAAACUUCUUUUGUCUGAGGGUAAAAAAGCGGACGUGUCCGUUCUUGCAAGUAUCAGACGAAUAAGCAUCGGCUAACUCCGUGCCAGCCGCCGCGGUAAUAC
rnacentral:rRNA from 1 species